AUACGGAGGAUGCAAGCGUUAUCCGGAUUUAUUGGGUUUAAAGGGUGCGUAGGCGGGACUGUAAGUCAGGGGUGAAAUACUGCAGCUUAACUGUAGCAUUGCCUUUGAAACUGCCGUUCUUGAGUACAGUUGAGGUAGGCGGAAUGUGGUGUGUAGCGGUGAAAUGCAUAGAUAUACCACAGAACGCCGAUUGCGAAGGCAGCUUAAAAAGCUCUUACUGACACUGAGGGCAGAAAGCGUGGGGAACAAACAGGGUUAGACACCCUGGUAGUCCACGCAGUAAACGAUGAUGACUAACCGCCGGCGAUAGACCGCCGGUGGCCAAGCGAAAGCGAUAAGUCAUCCACCUGGGGAGUACGACCGCAAGGUUGAAACUCAAAUGAAUUGACGGGG
rnacentral:rRNA from 1 species